UGGGGAAUAUUGCACAAUGGAGGGAACUCUGAUGCAGCGACGCCGCGUGAACGAAGAAGGCUUUCGAGUCGUAAAGUUCUUUUAUAUGGGAAGAUAAUGACGGUACCAUAAGAAAAAGCCCCGGCUAACUACGUGCCAGCAGCCGCGGUAAUACGUAGGGGGCUAGCGUUGUCCGGAAUCACUGGGCGUAAAGGGUUCGCAGGCGGAAAUGCAAGUCAGGUGUAAAAGGCAGUAGCUUAACUACUGUAAGCAUUUGAAACUGCAUAUCUUGAGAAAAGUAGAGGUAAGUGGAAUUUUUAGUGUAGCGGUGAAAUGCGUAGAUAUUAAAAAGAAUACCGGUGGCGAAGGCGACUUACUGGGCUCAUUCUGACGCUGAGGAACGAAAGCGUGGGUAGCAAACAGG
rnacentral:rRNA from 2 species